rnacentral:rRNA from 1 species
UACGUAGGUGGCAAGCGUUGUCCGGAUUUACUGGGCGUAAAGAGCGCGCAGGCGGUCGUGCAAGUCGCGUGUGAGAGCCCCCGGCUCAACUGGGGAGGGUCACGCGAUACUGCUCGACUUGAAGGCAGGAGAGGGAAGUGGAAUUCCCGGUGUAGUGGUGAAAUGCGUAGAUAUCGGGAGGAACACCAGUGGCGAAGGCGACUUCCUGGCCUGUUCUUGACGCUGAGGCGCGAAAGCUAGGGUAGCAAACGGG